UGAAUACGAGACGCUAAGGCGUCGAAGUAGUGUAUGUCAUACUUCCAAGAAAAGCUUGCACUGUCAUAGAUAAAAAACGCCUGUACCAUAACCGACACAGGUGGGUAGGUAGAGUAUACUAAGGGGCGCGAGAUAACUCUCUCUAAGGAACUCGGCAAAAUAACUCCGUAACUUCGGGAGAAGGAGUGCCUUAUUCUUAAGGUUGCAAUAACAAGAUCCAAGCAACUGUUUAUCAAAAACACAGGUCUCCGCUAAGUCGUAAGACGAUGUAUGGGGGCUGACGCCUGCCCAGUGCCAGAAGGUUAAAGAAGCUGGUUAGCAAUUGCGAAGCUGGUGACUGAAGCCCUGGUGAACGGCGGCCGUAACGAUAACGGUCCUAAGGUAGCGAAAUUCCUUGUCGGGUAAGUUCCGACCCGCACGAAAGGCGUAAUGAUUUGGAUACUGUCUCGGAGAGGGGCUCGGUGAAAUAGACUUGUCUGUGAAGAUGCGGACUACCUGCACCAGGACAGAAAGACCCUAUGAAGCUUUACUGUAACUUGAAAUUGAAAUUGGACUUUAUUCGCGCAGCAUAGGUGGGAGGCGUUGAUUAUAAUCUUGCGGGAUUAUUGGAGCCAUUAGUGAGAUACCACUCUUGUAAUGUUAGAUUUCUAACUUUGAAUCAUUAUCUGGUCAAAGGACAGUUUCAGGCGGGCAGUUUGACUGGGGCGGUCGCCUCCCAAACGGUAACGGAGGCGUACAAAGGUUUCCUCUGAACGGUUAGAAAUCGUAUCUAGAGUGUAAAGGCAUAAGGAAGCUUGACUGUGAGACCUACAAGUCGAGCAGGGACGAAAGUCGGUCUUAGUGAUCUGACGGUACUGAGUGGAAAGGCCGUCACUCAACGGAUAAAAGUUACUCUAGGAUAACAGGCUGAUCUCCCCCAAGAGUUCACAUCGACGGGGAGGUUUGGCACCUCGAUGUCGGCUCAUCGCAUCCUGGGGCGGUAGUACGUCCCAAGGGUUGGGCUGUUCGCCCAUGAAAGCGGUACGCGAGCUGGGUUCAGAACGUCGUGAGACAGUUCGGUCCAUAUCCGGUGUAGGCGUUAGAAUAUUGAGAGGAGCCUUCUUUAGUACGAGAGGACCGAGAAGGACAUACCUCUGGUGUACCAGUUAUCGUGCCAACGGUAAACGCUGGGUAGCUAUGUAUGGAGUGGAUAACCGCUGAAAGCAUCUAAGUGGGAAGCCCACCUCAAGAUAAG
rnacentral:rRNA from 1 species